rnacentral:misc_RNA from 1 species
GAUCUUUUGAGUGUUUGCAUCAAUAAUGUUGUAGUACUGGGAUUACAAAAACAGCUUAUUCCCCCGCAAAGAUUAUAAGAGGACUCUUAUUACAUCUUGACUGAUACUAUCAUUCCUAAAUAGCUGAAAAAUAUUCCUUGCUAAGCUUAGGAUCAGGCUUCAUCGACUUCUCCCCAGGCUUCCAUCCCGCCGGGCAAACCUCGUCUGGAUUUUCUUGGACAAAUUGCAAUGCCUGAAGGGUUCUCAUGGUUUCAUCGACACUACGACCGAUUGCAAGGUUAUUGAUGGUAGAGUGUUGAAUGACUCCUUCCUUGUCGAUGAUGAACAGACCCCGCAAAGCAAUCCCCUGAUCGGGGAUAAGUACACCGUAAGAUUCUGCAACAGAUUUAGUCACAUCGGAAACCAACGG